rnacentral:rRNA from 1 species
AUUGAACGCUGGCGGCAGGCUUAACACAUGCAAGUCGAGCGGGGGAAGGUAGCUUGCUACCGGACCUAGCGGCGGACGGGUGAGUAAUGCUUAGGAAUCUGCCUAUUAGUGGGGGACAACAUCUCGAAAGGGAUGCUAAUACCGCAUGCGUCCUACGGGAGAAAGCAGGGGAUCUUCGGACCUUGCGCUAAUAGAUGAGCCUAAGUCGGAUUAGCUAGUUGGUGGGGUAAAGGCCUACCAAGGCGACGAUCUGUAGCGGGUCUGAGAGGAUGAUCCGCCACACGGGGAAUGAGACACGGCCCAGACUCCUACGGGAGGCAGCAGUGGGGAAUAUUGGACAAUGGGGGGAACCCUGAUCCAGCCAUGCCGGGUGUGUGAAGAAGGCCUUAUGGUUGUAAAGCACUUUAAGCGGGGAGGAGGCUACUUUAGUUAAUACCUAGAGAUAGUGGACGUUACUCGCAGAAUAAGCACCGGCUAACUCUGUGCCAGCCGCCGCAGUAA